rnacentral:rRNA from 1 species
UACGUAGGUGGCAAGCGUUGUCCGGAUUUACUGGGCGUAAAGGAUGCGUAGGCGGAUGUUUAAGUGAGAUGUGAAAUACCCGAGCUCAACUUGGGUGCUGCAUUUCAAACUGGGUAUCUAGAGUGCAGGAGAGGAAAGCGGAAUUCCUAGUGUAGCGGUGAAAUGCGUAGAGAUUAGGAAGAACACCAGUGGCGAAGGCGGCUUUCUGGACUGUAACUGACGCUGAGGCAUGAAAGCGUGGGGAGCAAACAGG